rnacentral:snRNA from 1 species
GCAUUUUCGUGAUUUGUGCU